rnacentral:rRNA from 1 species
AUUGAACGCUGGCGGCAGGCUUAACACAUGCAAGUCGAGCGGGGUGAUGGUGCUUGCACUAUCACUUAGCGGCGGACGGGUGAGUAAUGCUUAGGAAUCUGCCCAUUAGUGGGGGACAACAUCUCGAAAGGGAUGCUAAUACCGCAUACGUCCUACGGGAGAAAGCAGGGGAUCACUUGUGACCUUGCGCUAAUAGAUGAGCCUAAGUCGGAUUAGCUAGUUGGUGGGGUAAAGGCCUACCAAGGCGACGAUCUGUAGCGGGUCUGAGAGGAUGAUCCGCCACACUGGGACUGGGACACGGCCCAGACCCCUACGGGAGGCAGCAGUGGGGAAUAUUGGACAAUGGGGGGAACCCUGAUCCAGCCAUGCCGCGUGUGUGAAGAAGGCCUUAUGGUUGUAAAGCACUUUAAGCGAGGAGGAGGCUUACCUAGUUAAUACCUGGGAUAAGUGGACGUUACUCGCAGAAUAAGCACCGGCUAACUCUGUGCCAGCCGCCGCGGUAA